rnacentral:rRNA from 1 species
GUGGGGAAUUUUGGACAAUGGGCGCAAGCCUGAUCCAGCAAUGCCGCGUGCAGGAAGAAGGCCUUCGGGUUGUAAACUGCUUUUGUACGGAACGAAACGGUCCUGGCUAAUACCCGGGGCUAAUGACGGUACCGUAAGAAUAAGCACCGGCUAACUACGUGCCAGCAGCCGCGGUAAUACGUAGGGUGCGAGCGUUAAUCGGAAUUACUGGGCGUAAAGCGUGCGCAGGCGGUGCUGUAAGACAGGCGUGAAAGCCCCGGGCUCAACCUGGGAAUUGCGCUUGUGACUGCAGUGCUGGAGUGCGGCAGAGGGGGAUGGAAUUCCGCGUGUAGCAGUGAAAUGCGUAGAUAUGCGGAGGAACACCGAUGGCGAAGGCAAUCCCCUGGGCCUGCACUGACGCUCAUGCACGAAAGCGUGGGGAGCAAACGGGAUUAGAAACCCUAGUAGUCC